UUCGGUAGAGUGAAACUGCGGAUAGCUCAUUAAAUCGCCUCUAUUUUGUUUGAUAGUCCUCCACUGGAUAUCCGUGGAAAAUCUAGAGCCAAUACUUGCACUGAUAUCUAACAAGCUAAUGCUUCUUGUUAGAUGCAUUUAUUGGAUAUCCGAUCGCUCACAUUGCGAGCGUUAGGUGAUUCUAAAUGACUUUGCUGAUCGUAUGGCCUUGUGCCGACGACAGAUCAAACAAGAUCGCGCCCUAUCAAUUUGUUGUUAGGAUAUUUUCCUAACA
rnacentral:rRNA from 1 species